rnacentral:rRNA from 1 species
GGAUUUAAUUGUGUACCAAUACAUGAUUACCUUAGUGGCUGACGGGUGAGUAAUACGUAUGUGACCUACCCUCAAGCGUGGGACAGGUUCGGGAAACCGGUGCUAAUACCGGAGAACACCGCAAUCUGGGAUGAUAGUGGUAAAAGAAGCAAUUCAUUUGAGGCUGGGCCUGCGGCCUAUCAGGUAUUUGGUAAGGUAAAGGCUUGGCAAGCCUAUGACGGGUAGCCGGACUGAGAGGUUGAACGGCCUCAUUGGAAAUGAGACACGGUCCAGACUCCAACCGGAGGCAGCAGUGGGGAAUUGUGCGCAAUGGGCGAAAGCCUGACCCAACGACGCCACGUGGAGGAUGAAGGUCUUCGGACAGUAAACUCCUUUUGUAGGGGAAAAUAAUGAUGGUACCCUAUGAAUAAGCCAGGGCUAAAUCUGUGCCAGCAGCCACGGUAAGACAGAGGUGGCGACCGUUGUUCGGAAUUACUGGACUUAAAGGGCGCGUAGGUGGUGAUAUAAGUGGUGGGGUGCAAGGCUGAGGCUUAACCUUGGAAUUGCCUUGGAAUCUGUAUCACGUGAGUCAGACAGGGGAUGGCGGAAUUCCAGGUGUAGCGGUGAAUUGUGUAGAUAUCAGGAAGAAGGCCGGUGGAGAAGGCGCCUAUCUGGGUUUGAACUGACAGUGAGGCGAGAAAGUGUGGGGAGCAAACAGGAUUAGAUCCCGUGGUAGUCCACGCCCUAAACGGUGGAUAUUAGGUGUGGGGCUUGUAAGGGUUCGGUGCCGAAGGUAAACCAU